rnacentral:rRNA from 1 species
GUACACGCUGUGACUAGCAUAUCAAUAAGCGGAGGAAAAGAAACUAACAAGGAUUCCCCUAGUAACGGCGAGUGAAGCGGGAAGAGCUCAAAUUUGAAAUCUUAAAGGGUUUCCCUUUACGAAUUGUAGUUUAAAGAAGUGUUUUCUGUUGAGGUUUUGGUUAAAGUUCUUUGGAAUAGGACAUCAUAGAGGGUGAGAAUCCCGUAUUUGACCUUUACUUUCAACUUUGUGAUACACUUUCAAAGAGUCGGAUUGUUUGGGAAUGCAGUCCAAAAUGGGUGGUAAAUUUCAUCUAAAGCUAAAUAUUGGCGAGAGACCGAUAGCGAACAAGUACCGUGAGGGAAAGAUGAAAAGAACUUUGAAAAGAGAGUUAAACAGUACGUGAAAUUGUCAAAAGGGAAGCGUUUGACACCAGUGUUGUUUUUCUGAAAAUCAAUUAAAGGACUGUUUAUGCUAAGUUGUUUAGACUUUAUCAGCUAUCUGUUUAGUUUUGAGCUUUUCUUUAAUGCACUUUUCAGUUAACAAGUCAACAUCAAUUUCUUUUGCUGUAAAAAAGCUUGAGGAAGGUGGCUUGAGAUUCGUCUUAAGUGUUUAUAGCCUCUUGCCUAUGCAGUCGGAGAGAUUGAGGUCUGCAGCGUAGAUCCUUCGGGGCUAAAUGCAUUUGUGCUAAGUUAUAGCAUUUUAUAGACAACUUGUUGACUAUGAUUUGUCUUGUAGCUUACUCGCUUAUGUUAUUUUACCUACGCUUAGGAUGUUGAACUACUGAGACAUAGA